UACAGAGGGUGCGAGCGUUAAUCGGAAUUACUGGGCGUAAAGCGUGCGUAGACGGUUGCGUAAGUCGGAUGUGAAAUCCCCGGGCUCAACCUGGGAAUUGCAUUCGAGACUGCGUAGCUGGGGUGCGGAAGAGGGAAGCGGAAUUUCCGGUGUAGCGGUGAAAUGCGUAGAUAUCGGAAGGAACAUCAGUGGCGAAAGCGGCUUCCUGGUCCAGCACAGACGUUCAGGCACGAAAGCGUGGGGAGCAAACAGG
rnacentral:rRNA from 1 species